rnacentral:rRNA from 1 species
GAACGCUGGCGGUGCGCCUUAUGCAUGCAAGUCGAGCGAAGCUUUUCAGUAGUUUACUACAGAAAAUGACUGAGCGGCGAACGGGUGAGUAACGCGUGAGCAAUCUACCUUAGUUACAGGGAUAGCCCGAGGAAACUCGGAUUAAUACCUGAUAUUCUUUAUAUUUCGCAUGAAAUUAAAAGGAAAGGUCAGCCGAACUAAGAUGAGCUCGCGUUCUAUCAGCUAGUUGGUGAGGUAAAAGCUCACCAAGGCUACGACGGAUAGCUGGUCUGAGAGGACGAUCAGCCACACUGGGACUGAGACACGGCCCAGACUCCUACGGGAGGCUGCAGCAGGGAAUAUUGCGCAAUGAGCGAAAGCUUGACGCAGCGACACCGCGUGUGGGAUGACGGAUCUAGGUUUGUAAACCACUUUCAGGAGGGAAGAAAAUGACGGUACCUCCACAAGA